rnacentral:rRNA from 1 species
GAUGAACGCUCGCUACAGGCUUAACACAUGCAAGUCGAGGGGCAGCAUGGUCUUAGCUUGCUAAGGCCGAUGGCGACCGGCGCACGGGUGAGUAACACGUAUCCAACCUGCCGUCUACUCUUGGACAGCCUUCUGAAAGGAAGAUUAAUACAAGAUGGCAUCAUGAGUCCGCAUGUUCACAUGAUUAAAGGUAUUCCGGUAGACGAUGGGGAUGCGUUCCAUUAGAUAGUAGGCGGGGUAACGGCCCACCUAGUCUUCGAUGGAUAGGGGUUCUGAGAGGAAGGUCCCCCACAUUGGAACUGAGACACGGUCCAAACUCCUACGGGAGGCAGCAGUGAGGAAUAUUGGUCAAUGGGCGAGAGCCUGAACCAGCCAAGUAGCGUGAAGGAUGACUGCCCUAUGGGUUGUAAACUUCUUUUAGAAAGGAAUAAAGUCGGGUAUGGAUACCCGUUUGCAUGUACUUUAUGAAUAAGGAUCGGCUAACUCCGUG